rnacentral:rRNA from 1 species
UACAGAGGCCACGAGCGUUAGGCGGAAUCACUGGGCUUAAAGCGUGUGUAGGUGGAUGGCUAAGUACCUUGUGAAAUCCCACGGCUCAACCGUGGAACUGCUUAGUAUACUGGUCGUCUUGAGGCACUCAGGGGCGAGCGGAACAGAUGGUGGAGCGGUGAAAUGCGUAGAUAUCAUCUGGAACGCCAAUGGUGAAGACAGCUCGCUGGGGGUGUACUGACACUGAGACACGAAAGCCAGGGGAGCGAACGGG